rnacentral:rRNA from 1 species
GAUGAACGCUAGCGGGAGGCUUAACACAUGCAAGUCGAGGGGCAGCAUAGGGUAGCAAUACUCUGAUGGCGACCGGCAAAACGGGUGAGUAACGCGUAUGCAACCUACCCUGUACAGGGGGAUAACCCGGAGAAAUUCGGACUAAUAUCCCGUAAUAAUAUCCGGAGGCAUCUUUGGAUAUUUAAAGUUCCGACGGUACGGGAUGGGCAUGCGUAACAUUAGCUGGUUGGUAAGGUAACGGCUUACCAAGGCUAUGAUGUUUAGGGGUCCUGAGAGGGUGGUCCCCCACACUGGUACUGAGACACGGACCAGACUCCUACGGGAGGCAGCAGUGAGGAAUAUUGGUCAAUGGGCGCAAGCCCUGAACCAGCCCAUCCCGCGUGCAGGAAGACGGCCCUAUGGGUUGUAAACCGCUUUUCCCCGGGAAGAAUAAAGCCCCCCGCGGGGGUGAUGCCGGUACCGGGGGAAUAAGGAGUCGGCUAACUCCGUGCCAGCAGCCGCGGUAAGCUAGUCUACG